rnacentral:rRNA from 1 species
GAUCCUGGCUCAGGAUGAACGCUGGCGGCGCGCCUAACACAUGCAAGUCGAACGGCACCCCUCUCCGGAGGGAAGCGAGUGGCGAACGGCUGAGUAACACGUGGAGAACCUGCCCCCUCCCCCGGGAUAGCCGCCCGAAAGGACGGGUAAUACCGGAUACCCCGGGGUGCCGCAUGGCACCCCGGGCUAAAGCCCCGACGGGAGGGGAUGGCUCCGCGGCCCAUCAGGUAGACGGCGGGGUGACGGCCCACCGUGCCGACAACGGGUAGCCGGGUUGAGAG